rnacentral:rRNA from 1 species
GACGAACGCUGGCGGCGUGCUUAACCCAUGCAAGUCGAACGAAGUGGCGAACGGGUGAGUAACGCGUAAUCAACCUGCCCUUCAGAGGGGGACAACAGUUGGAACCGACUGCUAAUCCCGCAUACUGAAGGAGGGGAUUGCUUCUGAUUAGCUAGUUGGCGGGGUAACGGCCCACCAAGGCGAUGAUCAGUAGCCGGUCGGAGAGGAUGAUCGGCCACAGUGGGACUGAGACACGGCCCAGACUCCUACGGGAGGCAGCAGGGGGGAAUCGUCCGCAAUGGACGAAAGUCUGACGGAGCAACGCCGCGUGAGUGAUGACGGCCUUCGGGUUGUAAAGCUCUGUUAAUCGGGACGCGGUACCGGAAUAGAAAGCCACGGCUAACUACGUGCCAGCCGCCGCGGUAAUAC